AUGACACAGCUCGCCGAAGCAGUUAUUGUCACGCAGGCGGCUUCACGCCGACGUUCAGCCUCUUUCUCACAGCAGGGAAACUGGGAUCGUUCAUUUCGCUGUUCUCCGAACACGCCAAUAGAAAAUAGAUUCUCACACUCACACGCACACAAGAACAGGACGGCAAAACCCUUGGAAUUGUCCUUCAGUCUCAGGAUGGAUCCUGAUCUCAAACAAAGCCCCCCACCUUCCGUUCCAUCACCAGCCACUGCUACACGUGCACCCCCACCUGCAUGACCUCCAGUCCGACAGCCUGCCAAGAGAGUCUUUUGCCGUCUACUUCGUGCCCAUAUAGCAGCAGCAGCGCCCAGGCCUGCAGCCACGAAGACGCCCGGCUCAAUGGCCCCCAACGUCACGCAACCCUAACCCCCCCUAGAAAGGUGGGGGGACCAGGCGCUGCCAGAGGAGGAGGGGGGCAGAGGACGUGGUUUCCGUAGAGAUGAAUGUUACUGCUGCUGCCGGGGAGGCCACUGGGCUACAGACUGCCCCCACCGAGGGGAGGGCGGGCCGCCACAGCCUCACUCCUUUGAUUGAUGCGAGGGGGAGAGGAGGGGGGGCUUCAUGCUGCAGUGAAGGAGGGAAGUGAGGCACGGACAACGUCGCGUUCCCGACUACCCUCGAGAGGAGCCUUUCGUGUUUUCACCCAACUGAGUGAUCCCAGUGAGCGGUCACACACUAUUUCCCUUGAUUUCCGGCGGGAGACGGGCCCCCCCCCCCCCCCCCACGCACACGCAGGAGCCUCAAAAGCUAUGCAAGCCUCACGCAAACCGCAAGGCCGCGAUUGGUCCCGCUGACGGCGUCCUUUACGGAGUCUCACAUUUCCGGUUUCAUAGCACAAUACCGCCAUUAUUAAAAGGAAGAGUUUUGAAGAGCGAAUGAAUCAGAUUGAAGAGCUUUGGUUGGAAAGGAAUUUGUAAAUAUGAGCGCUUCUACGAGCCGUCAUUGGCGCCCGUUGUUCUGGCGGUGAAUCGCUCCAGAACCCACGCAAGACUUUUAAACCAUGCAUUAAAACGAGCGCGUCGACGCGACUGAAGAAAAGCCGCGGCUGCAGUUGCAGAAGGAAGCCAGCGCCUUGAGGGUUGUGAUUUAAAGAAAUCCUUUGUCAACAACGCACAUCCUUACAUACAAAACAAUGCAAUGAAGAAACCCACCACACACACGCACACGUACGGCACCUCAGCAGUCGUAGAGAGUAAAAUACACCCAACAAAUCACCUGGAACUGUUUUCAUAAAAGGGGGAGUAACAUUUACCUUUUUUGUAGGUUUAGGAGCAACAGAGAACUACCAAACCCUAAAUUAGGUGAACAAUCUGUGUUUACUGCUCCUCUCACAUGUGUCCAUGACGGAGAUCCUCUACCAGCUAAGAACAAGCACACAUAUGAUCAGAUUACUGCCCCGCAAACCUUCCAGGAAGAGACGUGAUACUACGAGGAAUUAGUUUCAUCUCCACGGCCCGGGGCCCAAAGCCCCCCCUCUCCCAAAAACCAAGACCACGGCCCAGUUUGGUCCUCAGACCCCUGCAUGUGUCCCACCUGAGGGUCCUCAUUGAUGCUACAGGACCCGUCACGAGUGAGCGCUUUCGAUGUUUGUGGUGAACUGAAGGAGGGAGGAUGUUCCUUGGUGGGACAAGACGACUCUGCUAAAUGAACUCGUUAAAAGGCCUCAGGUGGCUGGUUUUAACCGGUAAACUGGACGUUAAGGUCUGUUUCAAACAAGACGCACACGCUCUGCUCUAUAAAACCUUCCAACCAACUUUUCACAUUUGACAGAAUGUGACCCAACAAAGGAGGAUUGGUGUUUUAUUUUAGCCGUGGUGCUGAUCCAGCAGAGAGGAGCCGACGUCCUCAGAACACGUUUGAAUACAUUUAAAUGUGAAUUACUUUACUACUCUAUAAUAACAGCAUACUUAUUUAUUACUUGAUAGUAUUAUCUUUUAACACAGUCUUUAACCCAAUGGGAGGGAUACAUGUGUUAUUAAAUGAUUAACAGUAAAACUUGAAGUAGAACUAUAAAGUUCCAGAAGAUGGAGGACUUCAGUCUUUUUCACACUUUUUAAUGCUUAAUCAUCUGAUUGCGUGUUGGCCGUGCAGGUUUCACUACAUGCACAUACUACAUGUGUGUGCUUUCUCCACUCAGACAAAUAUAGCGUAGUAACAUCGUAUUAUAAAAAGAUGAACUAAUGAAAGUAAGACUUUGGUUUUACUUUAAGAACUAUAUUUUGCAAAGAUUCAUUUCAGAUAUUUUAUGAUCAGAUUGUUUGGAAACCUGUAUUUGUGAUGUGGAUCAUUCAUUGCAUCUGAUUCUUGUGUUUUGCUGUUUAUACACUGACUAGAGUCGAGCUCUUUGCACUAACAUUAAUAGUCUCUCUCUCUUUGUUCCACAGCACACUGAUAAAAUGUACUAAUCCUCCUGCUGCGGAUCGUAGAAACACUUUCCCCAUUUCUGGCUAUUAAACAGAUAAUUCAUUUAGCCGGACAUCCAUCUGUAGUCAGAGCUCUUCCCCCGAUGGAUAUUUAGAACACUGCUACUGACGAACGCUUAAAAGUCCAAAAAAGCACCUGGAAUAAAGCCUGAAA
ensembl:lncRNA